UACGGGGGGGGCAAGCGUUGUUCGGAAUUGCUGGGCGUAAAGGGCUCGUAGGCGGCCAACUAAGUCAGACGUGAAAUCCCUCGGCUUAACCGGGGAACUGCAUCUGAUACUGGAUGGCUUGAGUUCGGGAGAGGGAUGCGGAAUUCCAGGUGUAGCGGUGAAAUGCGUAGAUAUCUGGAGGAACACCGGUGGCGAAGGCGGCAUCCUGGACCGACACUGACGCUGAGGAGCGAAAGCCAGGGGGAGCAAACGGGG
rnacentral:rRNA from 1 species